GAGGGUAUAACUCAGUAAUAGAGUGCAUGCUUAGCAUACAUAAGGUCUUGGGUUCAAUCCCCAGUACCUCCA
rfam:Camelus ferus unplaced genomic scaffold scaffold1174, whole genome shotgun sequence.